rnacentral:rRNA from 1 species
UUAAAUUGAAGAGUUUGAUCAUGGCUCAGAUUGAACGCUGGCGGCAGGCCUAACACAUGCAAGUCGAACGGUAACAGGAAACAGCUUGCUGUUUCGCUGACGAGUGGCGGACGGGUGAGUAAUGUCUGGGAAACUGCCUGAUGGAGGGGGAUAACUACUGGAAACGGUAGCUAAUACCGCAUAACGUCGCAAGACCAAAGAGGGGGACCUUCGGGCCUCUUGCCAUCGGAUGUGCCCAGAUGGGAUUAGCUUGUUGGUGGGGUAACGGCUCACCAAGGCGACGAUCCCUAGCUGGUCUGAGAGGAUGACCAGCCACACUGGAACUGAGACACGGUCCAGACUCCUACGGGAGGCAGCAGUGGGGAAUAUUGCACAAUGGGCGCAAGCCUGAUGCAGCCAUGCCGCGUGUAUGAAGAAGGCCUUCGGGUUGUAAAGUACUUUCAGCGGGGAGGAAGGGAGUAAAGUUAAUACCUUUGCUCAUUGACGUUACCCGCAGAAGAAGCACCGGCUAACUCCGUGCCAGCAGCCGCGGUAAUACGGAGGGUGCAAGCGUUAAUCGGAAUUACUGGGCGUAAAGCGCACGCAGGCGGUUUGUUAAGUCAGAUGUGAAAUCCCCGGGCUCAACCUGGGAACUGCAUCUGAUACUGGCAAGCUUGAGUCUCGUAGAGGGGGGUAGAAUUCCAGGUGUAGCGGUGAAAUGCGUAGAGAUCUGGAGGAAUACCGGUGGCGAAGGCGGCCCCCUGGACGAAGACUGACGCUCAGGUGCGAAAGCGUGGGGAGCAAACAGGAUUAGAUACCCUGGUAGUCCACGCCGUAAACGAUGUCGACUUGGAGGUUGUGCCCUUGAGGCGUGGCUUCCGGAGCUAACGCGUUAAGUCGACCGCCUGGGGAGUACGGCCGCAAGGUUAAAACUCAAAUGAAUUGACGGGGGCCCGCACAAGCGGUGGAGCAUGUGGUUUAAUUCGAUGCAACGCGAAGAACCUUACCUGGUCUUGACAUCCACAGAACUUUCCAGAGAUGAGAUUGUGCCUUCGGGAACUGUGAGACAGGUGCUGCAUGGCUGUCGUCAGCUCGUGUUGUGAAAUGUUGGGUUAAGUCCCGCAACGAGCGCAACCCUUAUCCUUUGUUGCCAGCGGUCCGGCCGGGAACUCAAAGGAGACUGCCAGUGAUAAACUGGAGGAAGGUGGGGAUGACGUCAAGUCAUCAUGGCCCUUACGACCAGGGCUACACACGUGCUACAAUGGCGCAUACAAAGAGAAGCGACCUCGCGAGAGCAAGCGGACCUCAUAAAGUGCGUCGUAGUCCGGAUUGGAGUCUGCAACUCGACUCCAUGAAGUCGGAAUCGCUAGUAAUCGUGGAUCAGAAUGCCACGGUGAAUACGUUCCCGGGCCUUGUACACACCGCCCGUCACACCAUGGGAGUGGGUUGCAAAAGAAGUAGGUAGCUUAACCUUCGGGAGGGCGCUUACCACUUUGUGAUUCAUGACUGGGGUGAAGUCGUAACAAGGUAACCGUAGGGGAACCUGCGGUUGGAUCACCUCCUUACCUUAAAGAAGC